AAACUAUCUACAUGUGUAAAACUUGGGGGGGAGGGGACUUCUGUAAGCAAUUGAUCAAACCUUAGUUUCAACACAAAAUUAUUAAGUCUUGAAUUGUCAAGUUUCAAAAAUAACAAUAAAAGGUAUGAAUAAAGAGAGUAUUGGGGAACACACCUAUGAGACAGUAACCCUAAAAUACAAUAAACUUAAAUAUAUAUGUCUUGCCUGACAUAUAAAAUAAACCUGCUACAAACUACUUGUAAAUGGGAGUGGAUGUCUCUUUUCAAUUUCAAGUGCUUCUCAAGCUUACCUGAUUAAAAAUAUAUAUUUAAGUUAAAUUCAGUAAAGAGUAUGAAAUAAAAAUUUAUUUAGUACACAAUUUGAUGAAUUAAAAUACCUAAUUAAUUCAGAAAUAGACCUAAUCAGUAAACUGUACAUUAAAGUGUUAGUGCCUCCAUUUGACUUUGUGACCUUCAUGGCAGUGAAGGCAAUUUUAGCAGAAAACAAGAAUGUGUCCAUAGUACACGGAUGCCCCACUCGCACUAUCAUUUUCUAUGUUCAGUGGACCAUGAAAUUGGGGUCAAAACUUUAAUUUGGAAUUAAAAUUAGAAAGAUCAUAUCAUAGGGAACAUGUGUACUAAGUUUCAAGUUGAUGUAACUUUAACUUCAUCAAAAACUACCUUGACCAAAAACUUUAACCUGAACUUUGCACUAUCAUUUUCUAUGUUCAGUGAACCAUGAAAUUGGGGUCAAAACUAUAAUUUGGCAUUAAAAUUAGAAAGAUCAUAUCAUGGGGAACAUGUGUAUCAAGUUUCAAGUUGAUUGGACUUCAGCUUCAUCAAAAACUACCUCGACCAAAAACUUUAACCUGAAGCGAACGGACGCACAGACAGACGGACGAACGAACGGAGGCACAGACCAGAAAACAUAAUGCCCCUCUACUAUCGUAGGUGGGGCAUAAAAAGUAUGAAUAAAAGAACAUAUAGAGUAUACAUCAAUGAGACAAGUGUUUGUACUACAAUAGGUAGUAACACAUGUAUUUGCAACAUUUAAGGGAUAUGGGUCAACCGGUCAAGUUGUUUUCAAAAGUACUAUAUGUAUUAGACCAGAUGAGAAAACAAUACAAACUUUCUUAUAAGAAACUACCACAAACACUUAAAAAAAUUCUGAAAUUUCAU
rnacentral:lncRNA from 1 species